CUACGGAACUCCUACGGGAGGCAGCAGUGGGGAAUUUUGGACAAUGGGGGCAACCCUGAUCCAGCAAUGCCGCGUGAGUGAAGAAGGCCUUCGGGUUGUAAAGCUCUUUUGUCAGGGAAGAAACGGUAGUAGCUAAUAUCUAUUACUAAUGACGGUACCUGAAGAAUAAGCACCGGCUAACUACGUGCCAGCAGCCGCGGUAAUACGUAGGGUGCAAGCGUUAAUCGGAAUUACUGGGCGUAAAGCGUGCGCAGGCGGUUGUGUAAGUCAGAUGUGAAAUCCCCGGGCUCAACCUGGGAAUUGCAUUUGAGACUGCACGGCUAGAGUGCGGCAGAGGGGGAUGGAAUUCCGCGUGUAGCAGUGAAAUGCGUAGAUAUGCGGAGGAACACCGAUGGCGAAGGCAAUCCCCUGGGCCUGCACUGACGCUCAUGCACGAAAGCGUGGGGAGCAAACAGGAUUAGAAACCCCUGUAGUCCUCUUCGA
rnacentral:rRNA from 1 species